rnacentral:rRNA from 1 species
UACGGGGGGAGCAAGCGUUGUUCGGAUUUACUGGGCGUAAAGGGCGCGUAGGCGGCGUGACAAGUCACUUGUGAAAUCUCCGGGCUUAACCCGGAGCGGUCAAGUGAUACUGUCGUGCUAGAGUGCGGAAGGGGCAACUGGAAUUCUCGGUGUAGCGGUGAAAUGCGUAGAUAUCGAGAGGAACACCUGCGGCGAAGGCGGGUUGCUGGGCCGACACUGACGCUGAGGCGCGAAAGCUAGGGGAGCGAACGGG